rnacentral:lncRNA from 1 species
CGGGGGUGAUUUCCCAAUCAGACAGCUGUCGCUUGUGAAGUCUGAUUGGGAAUCACAUUUAAGUUCCUUUUCCCCCACGAUGUUUGUGGGUUGUUGUCUCGUUAUUUGAGCACGUAACGUAUUGGCAGUUUUUCCUUGAUUUUGUGUACAUGUUUAAUUCUAGUGUGUUAAAUAAACAUGUAUUCGCUCCCAGCUGCGUUUUGGUCCGCUUCCUCGUCUCCCGACGACAAACGUUACAGAACAACCCACCGAACCAGGACCAAGCAGCGGGAGGAAAAGGAGCGCGAGAGAUGGGCUCGCGAGGGAAAGGAGUUCUGGACCUGGGAGGAGAUCAUGUCGGGGAAAGGACCCUGGCGGACCCAGGUCGAGGAGGAAAAGCCAGCCGGUAGACGGAGUCGCAGGCGGCGGUCGAGGAGGCCCGGAAAACAGCCCCAAGAAUUUUUUUUGGGGGGGCUAAUGGGGUGGUCCGGAAGGGCAGAGGAAGAGCCCAGACCACUGCUCUCGUGGGGGAUGACGGCGGAGGAAGAGAAGGAGAUGAGGCGUUUGAUUGAGGACCUGCAGAGGGAAGAUCUGGAGGAGCCAUGGUAUGCUGAGUUGCGCGCUGUGUCGCCAGUGCGCCCGCACAGCCCGGUGCGUCCGGUGGACAUGCCCAGCACAUGCCGUGCUAGGAUGGGCAUCCAGCCAGGACGAGUGGCUAAACCGGCUCCACGCUUCAGGUCACCAGUGCGUGUUCACAGUCCUGUCUGGCCCGUUCCUGUUCCCCGCACCAAGCCCACGGUGCGUGUCCCCAGUCCUGUCCGGCCCGUCCCUGCUCCCCGCACCAAGCCAUGGUAUGCAGAGUUGCGCGCUGUGUCGCCAGUGCGCCCGCACAGCCCAGUGCGUCCGGUGGACAUGCCCAGCACAUGCCGUGCUAGGAUGGGCAUCCAGCCAGGACGAGUGGCUAAACCGGCUCCACGCUUCAGGUCACCAGUACGUGUUCACAGUCCUGUCUGGCCCGUCCCUGCUCCCCGCACCAGGUUAGUGGUGCGUGUCCCCAGUCCUGUCCGGCCCGUCCCUGCUCCCCGCACCAGGUUAGUGGUGCGUGUCCCCAGUCCUGUCCGGCCCGUCCCUGCUCCCCGCACCAGGUUAGUGGUGCGUGUCCCCAGUCCUGUCUGGCCCGUCCCUGCUCCCCGCACCAAGUCAGUGGUGCGUGUCCCCAGUCCGGUCCGGCCCGUCCCUGCUCCCCGCACCAAGUCAGUGGUGCGUGUCCCCAGUCCUGUCCGGCCCGUCCCUGCUCCCCGCACCAGGUUAGUGGUGCGUGUCCCCAGUCCUGUCCGGCCCGUCCCUGCUCCCCGCACCAGGUUAGUGGUGCGUGUCCCCAGUCCGGCCCGGCCCGUCCCUGCUCCCCGCACCAGGUUAGUGGUGCGUGUCCCCAGUCCUGUCCGGCCCGUCCCUGCUCCCCGCACCAGGUUAGUGGUGCGUGUCCCCAGUCCUGUCCGGCCCAUCCCUGUUCCCCGCACCAAGCCCACGAUGCGUGUCCACAGUCCUGUCCGGCCCGUCCCUGUUCCCCGCACCAAGCCCACGGUGCGUGUCCACAGUCCUGUCCGGCCCGUCCCUGUUCCCCGCACCAAGCCCACGGUGCGUGUCCACAGUCCUGUCCGGCCCGUUCCUGUUCCCCGCACCAAGCCCACGGUGCGUGUCCACAGUCCGGCACGGCCCGUGUCUGGUCCACCGGUGCCCAAUCAUGUUCCGGUCGACGGCUCCGCUCCGGAGCCUGAGCAUGCCGCUCCACAGUGGUCCAGUCCGGGCCAGAGGGGUAGGGCUAGGGUGGAGGCAGGGGGAGAAACACGCCCGGGGCCAGAGCCUCCACCGAGGGUGAGGCGCCCACCCGGGUCCCCCCCCUAAUAGACUUUAGUUUGGUGCGCCGGGACUACGCACCGUUGGAGGGGGGGUACUGUCACGCCCUGACCAGGUGAACUCUGCUAUUUUGGUCAGGGUGUGGCAUUUCUAUGCUUUAUUUUCUAUGUUUUGGUUAUAGCCUUUCUUUGUGUUUUAUUUCUAUGUUGGGCUCGGGGGUGAUUUCCCAAUCAGACAGCUGUCGCUUGUGAAGUCUGAUUGGGAAUCACAUUUAAGUUCCUUUUCCCCCACGAUGUUUGUGGGUUGUUGUCUCGUUAUUUGAGCACGUAACGUAUUGGCAGUUUUUCCUUGAUUUUGUGUACAUGUUUAAUUCUAGUGUGUUAAAUAAACAUGUAUUCGCUCCCAGCUGCGUUUUGGUCCGCUUCCUCGUCUCCCGACGACAAACGUUACACACAUUCAA